CAGAUGAAUGUGCAGGGCAGACAGAUGAGGCAAGAGAUGCAAGAGAUGAAGUGGGCAGAGAAGGGACAGUGGGACACAGAGGGACAGAGGCAAGCCAUGGUGCAGUUGGAAGGACCGCUGGAGGGAAGCUGGGAGCAGAGAGGCUGCAGAGGAGUGGAGUGACAGAGCGACGGGAGUUGCAGGUCACAACGCAAGGAGAAGGUUGGGCACAGGGGCACACGCAGGGUGGAUGGGAAGGAGCAGACUGGGCCAGGACGAGAUGGAGCGGGGCAGACGGGACAGCAGAUGAGGCAGAGGGCAUAACGCGUGGAGGGUCCGGAGUCCGGCGAAGAUGCUGUGGUGGCGCCCGGCGCGGCCCCCGCCGCGGGCAGUGGAAGCGCACGCUGCGCGGCCGCGGAGCGGGGAAUCGGCUCGAUCCCGGCGAUCCCAGGAGAAGCUGCACGGAUCCAGUCGGUCAGAACAGCUCUUCAGCUCGCUCCCUCGCUCGCUCUUUUUAAACAAUAUCUCCCUUGUUGGUGGUUUGGGUUUUAUUAUUAUUAUUGUUAUUAUUUUAAAUGUGAUUUUUGUUGUUGUUGCUCCUGCUGCUGCUCCAGUUAAUCUGUCUCACUCUCUCUCCGCGUCUUUUUGAUCUUUCGCUUGCCUUGUGCUGGCUUGAACGCUGUGUUUUGUUGAUUUUUUUUUUUUUUUUUUUAACGCGUCUGAUGUUCCCUCUCGGAUCCGCAGUGAAAGGUCUCGGGGAAGCGGCUCGCUCCUCGCUUAUCUUCCUCUGAUCUCCUCCUGCUAAUUUCCCCCCCCUGCAAAAUCACGACAUUGUAGCACUUUCUACUGAAACUUUUAUACAGGAGUUAAAACCACGUGGGAACUCCAACCUAUAACAGAGACGCCAUGGGUUCCUCACUAUUUAGGAGAUUAAGUUAAGUCUUUUGCCCCCUGGGCUAUUACAGUAACUUCCUGAUGUGGAAAUAUUAACUAUGCUGUUUCUUUAACUCCCCCCUCCCUCCCUCCCGGUUCCUGCAAACACACCCACCACACAACAACUCGCGUCCCCGUCCUGUCCCACGACAGGACGGACGGACGGACGGACCCCGAGCGACAGUAGACCCGGCCCUCCCUCUUCCCCGGCCGGGAGAUGGAUGCCCCCGCCGUCCCUCCCCCCCCCCUGCAGUGUUCCUUGCCUUUUAAGCACUUGAAAGAAGAAGAAGUCAUUAGAAAGUUUA